UACGUAGGGUGCAAGCGUUGUCCGGAAUUAUUGGGCGUAAAGAGCUCGUAGGCGGUUUGUUGCGUCGGCUGUGAAAACCUGAGGCUCAACCUCAGGCCUGCAGUCGAUACGAGCAGACUAGAGUGUUGCAGGGGAGACUGGAAUUCCUGGUGUAGCGGUGAAAUGCGCAGAUAUCAGGGGGAACACCGGUGGCGAAGGCGGGUCUCUGGGCCGAUAUUGACGCUGAGGAGCGAAAGCGUGGGGAGCGAACAGG
rnacentral:rRNA from 1 species